rnacentral:misc_RNA from 1 species
AAGUCGUAACAAGGUUUCCGUAGGUGAACCUGCGGAAGGAUCAUUAUCAAAAGUCAAGUCGGUGGCUGAUAAAGCCGCCGUCUACACCCAUGUCUUUUGUGUACUCUUGUUUCCUCGGUGGCGUAAGCUGCCGAUUGGACAAACCAAAACCUUUUUGUAAUUGCAAUCAGCGUCUGAAAAAUAUAAUAAUAUUUACAACUUUCAACAACGGAUCUCUUGGUUCUG